rnacentral:rRNA from 1 species
GGAAGGAUCAUUAUCGUAUAACAGAGGCAUUCCGAGCUGUCGCUGUCCUUACCAGGUCGUGCACGCCUAGAGUGUUCUCAUUUACACAUCUAUCUCACCCUUCGUGCAUCGCCGCGUGGGCUCCCCUUUGAUUCAAAGGAGGUCUACGUUUUUACAACAAACUUUGUAAUAAUGGAUGUCUUACAUUUUGCGGUCACACGCAAUCAAUACAACUUUCAACAACGGAUCUCUUGGCUCUCGCAUCGAUGAAGAACGCAGCGAAAUGCGAUACGUAAUGUGAAUUGCAGAAUUCAGUGAAUCAUCGAAUCUUUGAACGCACCUUGCACCCCUUGGCAUUCCGAGGGGUACACCCGUUUGAGUGUCGUGAAAUUCUCAACCAUCUCUAUUUUGGGGAUGGCUUGGACUUUGGAGGUUUUUGCUGGCAUCGGUAAAGGCCAGCUCCUCUUAAAUGAAUUAGUGGGGUUCUUUUAACCGACCCCCUCGACGUGAUAAGAUUUCUUACGUCUGAGGUUUGGCUCCAAGACCCACUUCUAAUCGUCUCUCUUGGAGACGCGAUUUGAACCCCUUGACCUCAAAUCGGGUGAGACUACCCGCUGAACUUAAGCAUAUCAAUAAGCGGAGGA